GGCAGCCGCGGUAAUUCCAGCUCCAAUAGCGUAUAUUAAAGUUGUUGCAGUUAAAAAGCUCGUAGUUGAAUUUCGGGGUUAGUAGGUUGGUCAUGCCUCUGGUAUGUACUGGUCUCACUGAUUCCUCCUUCCUGAUGAACCUUAAUGCCAUUAAUUUGGUGUUUUGGGGAAUUUGGACUGUUACUUUGAAAAAUUGAGUGUUUAAAGCAAGCUAACGCUUGAAUACAUUAGCAUGGAAUAAUGAAUAGGACGUUCGAUCCUAUUUUGUUGGUUUCUAGGAUUGACGUAAUGAUUAAUAGGGAUAGUUGGGGGCAUUAGUAUUCAAUUGUCAGAGGUGAAAUUCUUGGAUUUAUUGAAGACUUAAC
rnacentral:rRNA from 1 species